CCCCCCCCCCCCCCCCCCCCCCCCCCCCCCCCCCCCCCCCCCCCCCCCCCCCCCCCCCCCCCCCCGCGUCCUGCAGGCCCCGCAGCUGCCGCGCCUUGGCCGAGCGCAGAACCUCGGAGCAGUUCCCCAAGUGCACCCGGGCGGGUGGAGACCCCUGGGAGGGCUCAGGAGCCGCGGCUGGAGCCCCACCGGGCAGCCGGGGGGCGAUCCCGAGGGUGCUGCCGCUCCAGCCGGGGGAAGGCGGCUCGGGAGGGCUCUCCAUGGCCUCCUCGGCAGCUCCGGAGGUGUUGGGAUCAGGAAUUCCCAAAGCUGGAUUCUCCCCCUGGGUUCCGGAGCUCUGCGGCUCUGCCUGGCCCCGCUCCCCUCGGUUCUGGGAUGUCCCCGCGGGGACGAAGGGCAGGGACGUCCGCCUGGACACCGACUCGGAGACGGACUGCACGAAGUAGUCGUAGACUUUGCCCCGCAGGCCAGGCCCGGGCGAGCUGUCCCUGUCCUUGUCGCGGCGCUCCGGGAUGAAGUUCUCCUCCACCUGGAUCUUGGCCACCGAGGAGAAGCAGUAGGAGGUGUCCGAGCCCGCCUCGCUCGCCGCCAGCAGCAGCCCCAGGCUGGAGGUGACGCUGAGGCUCCGGACGGUGCCCGAGCUGCCCUGGCUGCUCCUCCCGGCUCCAGCCGGAUCCUGCUCCGCGCUCUGCGCGCAUCCAUCCCCCUCAGCCCGGGCAUCGCAAAUCCCCGGGGAACCCGCGGAGCUCGGGGCAGGCGCGUCCCUGUCCCUCUCCGCGGGGCGGCCCCGGGCUGCGGCCUCGGCCCCGGGGUCGUGAGAGCCCAGCUCACUUCCCACCUCCACUCCUGCCUUGCCUCCCAGCUCACUUUCCAGAGAAAUUCCCACCUCCACUCCUGCCUUGCCUCCCAGCUCACUUUCCGGAGAAAUUCCCACCUCCACUCCUGCCUUGCCUCCCAGCUCACUUUCCGGAGAAAUUCCCACCUCCACUCCUGCCUUGCCUCCCAGCUCACUUUCCGGAGAAAUUCCCACCUCCACUCCUGCCUUGCCUCCCAGCUCACUUUCCGGAGAAAUUCCCACCUCCACUCCUGCCUUGCCUCCCAGCUCACUUUCCGGAGAAAUUCCCACCUCCACUCCUGCCUUGCCUCCCAGCAGAACUCCCGGCCCGCGUCUCAGCUGUAUCCCUGCCUUACCUCCCAGCUCACUUCCCACUUUGCCUCCUGGUUCGCUUCCCUUCUCACUUCCCAGCUCCAUUCCUGACUUCAUUCCCAAUUUAUUUCCCAGCUCGAUUCCCGGCUCGUUUGCCUGCUCACUUCCCGACUCAUUUCCUGGCUUCGUUACCAAUUCUGGCUCACUUCCUGGCUUCCUUCCUGGAUUAUUUCCCGGCUUGAUUCCCAGCCUGCUUCCCGACUUGAUUCCCGGCUCUUUUCCCAGCUCGCUUCCCACCUCCACUCCUGCCUUGCCUCCCAGCAGAACUCCCGGCCCGCGUCUCAGCUGUAUCCCUGCCUUACCUCCCAGCUCACUUCCCACUUUGCCUCCUGGUUCGCUUCCCUUCUCACUUCCCAGCUCCAUUCCUGACUUCAUUCCCAAUUUAUUUCCCAGCUCGAUUCCCGGCUCGUUUGCCUGCUCACUUCCCGACUCAUUUCCUGGCUUCGUUACCAAUUCUGGCUCACUUCCUGACUUCCUUCCUGGAUUAUUUCCCGGCUUGAUUCCCAGCCUGCUUCCCGACUUGAUUCCCGGCUCUUUUCCCAGCUCGCUUCCCGUCCUGCUCCCGGGAUCAUUCCCCAGCUCAACCCCUGCUUCUCUUUCUGAAUUAAUUCCCAAUUUCCAUCCCAGUUUAGUUCCCACCUCCCUCCCUGUCCCGGCCGGACGGAGCGGGGCUUUCCUGGGAAUCAUGGCUAGCUCCGAACCCACCUCCUCUCCUUCCUCCUCCUCCUCCUCACUCCUUGGAAAACUCUUCUCCCCCCGGAGAGCCGCGUGCCGCAUCCCGAGGCCAUUCCCAGAUUUGUCGCCGCCAUCCCUCCUCCUCCUCAGAUCCCCAUCCCGGUUUUCCCCAUCCCCAUCCCGGCUUUCCCGCCGCUCUCCCGGCGGGAUUUUUCCCGGGGGAGGCGAGCGGUUCCUAUAAAACCUGAAGGCCAGGGACAGGAGCAGCAGCGCGGCCGCCGACAGGAGCAGCUUCCCGGGCAGCUGCAUGUCCGAGUGCCAGGCCGGGGGCACCCGCUGGGGCAUUUUUCCAUGCGGGAAUGCCGAGGAGCCGAUUAAUGAUUUGCCGGGAGAGGCCGGAGCGCGGCGGGUCGGGACAAGGUGACUUUGAGCGGGCAGAGCCGGCAGGAGGCUUCCGGAGGAGCCGCGAAUGUUUGGGAUGGGCUGGGCUCCAGGGAAAGGUGCAGCCCAGGGAAACCGAGAGAGAGAGGCGCGGGGAAGAACACAAAGGCAAGAAAAAUAUCCCCGGGGAGCUGCUUCUCCUUCGUGGUGCUCGAAAAAGGGUCACGCAACGAAAAAGAAGGGGGGGGGGAGGGGGGAAGAAAAAAAGUUGUUUUGCCCAGCAAAGUGUCCUCGUCCCUCGGUGCUCCCGGAAAAGGGAGGGAGCAGCAGCCCGGAGCCCCUUGGGCUGAUGCCGAGCAGCUGCUCCGCCGCACGGCCGGGUGACGAAUUCAGCGGUUGAUUCAGUGAUUAAUUAAUUCAGUGAUUAAUUAA
rnacentral:lncRNA from 12 species